AUUGAACGCUGGCGGCAUGCCUUACACAUGCAAGUCGAACGGCAGCACGGGAGCAAUCCUGGUGGCGAGUGGCGAACGGGUGAGUAAUAUAUCGGAACGUGCCCAGUCGUGGGGAUAACGUAGCGAAAGCUACGCUAAUACCGCAUACGAUCUAUGGAUGAAAGCGGGGGAUCGCAAGACCUCGCGCGAUUGGAGCGGCCGAUAUCAGAUUAGGUAGUUGGUGAGGUAAAGGCUCACCAAGCCGACGAUCUGUAGCUGGUCUGAGAGGACGACCAGCCACACUGGGACUGAGACACGGCCCAGACUCCUACGGGAGGCAGCAGUGGGGAAUUUUGGACAAUGGGCGCAAGCCUGAUCCAGCAAUGCCGCGUGCAGGAUGAAGGCCUUCGGGUUGUAACUAGCUUUGUACGGAACGAACGGUAGAGCUCUAAUACAGUUUGCUAAUGACGGUACCGUAAGAAUAAGACACCGG
rnacentral:rRNA from 1 species